rnacentral:rRNA from 1 species
UACGUAGGGUGCGAGCGUUGUCCGGAAUUAUUGGGCGUAAAGAGCUCGUAGGCGGUCUGUCGCGUCGAUCGUGAAAACUUGGGGCUUAACCCUGAGCUUGCGGUCGAUACGGGCAUGACUGGAGUUCGGCAGGGGAGACUGGAAUUCCUGGUGUAGCGGUGAAAUGCGCAGAUAUCAGGAGGAACACCGGUGGCGAAGGCGGCUCUCUGGACCACAACUGACGCUGAGGCGCGAAAGCUAGGGGAGCAAACAGG